UUUUUUUUUUUUUUUAAAAAUUAUCAAACAGCUUUACAAAAUUAUUUUAGAAAAAUUAUUUUUCUAUCAAAUUCAGUUAAAUACUCUAUAGCUUUUAACUCGAUAGUAAUUUUUCAAAUCAAAAUCAAUUCAGUAGAAAUUACUUCUCAAACUAAAUUGCACACUUGGUCCUCACACUAAGAGGCCAUUGACACUUUGAUCCUCAAACUUUAAUUUGUUGUAACUUUUAGCUUGUACUUUCAGAAUUAUUGCAAUCAAGACUUAUAACACAAUUUAAUUAAUUAAAUAUUGAUAUAUCACUAAUAUGAGGUGAUAUAAUAGUGUUGUGAUUGAUGAUGCACAAGUAAUUAUAAUAUCACAUCACUUUUAUAUCAACAAUAUGAUAAAAUUUAGUCAACUAAUUUAUAGCGGGACUUAAUUGCAAUAAUUCUAAAAGUUUGAACUAAAAAUUACAAUAAAUUAAAAUUUAAAUACUAAAAUGUCGCAUGCUCCA
rnacentral:lncRNA from 1 species